CAUCUUACCACUGGGAUUUUUGCCCAUUCCUCCUUGCAAAACUACUCCAGCUCCUUCAAGUUGGAUGGUUUGUGCUUGUGAACAGCAAUCUUUAAGUCUGACCACAGAUUUUCUAUUGGAUUGAGGUCUGGACUUUGACUAGGCCAGGCAUUGGCAACCUUCGGCACUCCAUAUGUUUUGGACUACACCUACCAUGAUGCUUUACCAGCAUUAUG